UUAGCAGGAUAGAGUGAGAGGAGAGGGAGGACGACGACGAUUCAUACCGCAUCGAAAGCGACUUUAGUUUUUUGAAGCGCAACAGUAGACCUUACUUUGCGAAUUUACUUUGAGGAGCUCUCUUAUAUUUUAUUUUCCUAAUAAUGCUCACAUUCGGAACUGAAAAGUUAAAUUUAGGUAACUGUCUUAUGUUAUCUACUUAAUCCGAACAAUAUUACUCCGCAGCCCAUAAACUUCGGAGAAUCAAGAAACCGCGGUCAAAAUGAGAGCUCAAAUUGAGGUUAUACCAUGUAAAAUCUGUGGUGACAAAUCCUCUGGGAUUCACUAUGGUGUUAUUACAUGUGAAGGGUGCAAGGGUUUUUUCCGCCGCAGCCAGCAGAACAAUGCCAUGUACUCGUGUUCACGGCAGAGGAACUGUCAGAUCGACCGAACCAACAGGAACCGCUGCCAACACUGCCGUCUGCAGAAGUGCCUGGCACUCGGCAUGAGCCGUGAUGCGGUGAAGUUUGGCCGAAUGUCAAAGAAACAGCGGGACAGCCUGUACGCAGAGGUGCAGCGGCACCAGCAGCUGUCUCGGGACUGUCUGGCAGGUUUGGGCGGUGGUCUGGCAUCACAUGACCGUGAAGAGACGGGUGAAGACAUCACACACAGUCGGCCGUACAGCAGUGGUGGUUCCAGCUCUAACCUCAGUGACCUGGACGACAUCGCCACGCUGCCUGACGGUUUGCUGUUUGACCUGCCUCUCACCCCAGAGGAGGCGGGCGAGUACUGCUCUCUGGAGAUGCUCGGGGGCGGCCGAGGGUCCGGGAGUGCAGGAAGUGGAAGCUCGUCCAAUCAGAGCUCUCCAGAGCCCAGCACAGUAGAUUUGGCGGAAGUGAAGCAUGAGUAUAUUCUACCUGAAAACAGUCUUCUUACACACUCUCUCCUGGGAUCUCUACCAGACAACUGCUCUCUACAGGACAUAGAGCGAAUCACUCAAAAUGUGGUGAAGUCUCACCUGGAGACGAGUCAGUGCACCACAGAAGAGCUGAAAAAACUCACCUGGAACCUCUACACUCCUGAAGAAACCCGCAGCUUUCAGCUCAAGUCUGCAGAAUGGAUGUGGCAGCAGUGUGCCUUGCACAUAACAAACGCCAUCCAGUACGUCGUGGAGUUCGCUAAACGCAUCUCUGGAUUCAUGGACCUCUGCCAGAAUGACCAGAUCAUCCUGCUCAAAGCAGGAUGUCUGGAAAUCCUGUUGAUUCGAAUGUGCCGUGCUUACAACUCUUCAAAUAACACAAUGUUUUUUGAUGGCAAGUUCGCCAGUCCUCAGCUCUUCAAAGCUCUCGGGUGUGAUGACCUGGUGAACGCUGUCUUUGAUUUGGCUAAAAGUCUGAGCCGUCUUCAGCUGAGUGAGGAGGAAAUGGCUUUAUUCAGCGCUGCGGUCCUGCUGGCUCCAGAUCGGCCGUGGUUGACAGAGUCUCAGCAGGUGCAGAAGCUCCAGGAGAAGGUUUACGUGGCUCUUCAGCACAGCCUGCACAUGAACAGAGCCACUACUGAGAAACUGGAUAAGGGAGCACAGAACAACCACAUGGGCACAAAACAUCCAACAUCAUUAAUACAGGACAAAGAAACUGAGAGGAACACCGCGUCCUCACGCCGAACAGUCCAAAGGAGGAGGUUGGGUGGGGGUUCAGGAGGAGGAUGAGGCGCAGGCGAAGGGCAGACAAAAGGGAGAGGACACACAAGAGUUCAUAGAGCCAGGGCAGAGUAGACACUGGGAGAAGCCAGGUGGAGAUCGACCACCGUGGAGUCCCUGGAGGGGAGGAGCCAUGGUGGAGGUAGGGCUGUCGACACCUGGGGAUCGACUGACGGAGAUGGAGCUGAGGAAAAGGAGCCCAGGAUGGAGACGGAGAGCCGCAGAGCCAGGGUGACAUCGAGGUUCUGGAGAGCCAAGGUGGAGCAGACAGCUGGUGCGAGCUUGGCAGAGGCGGGUAUCCGGAAGACUGUGUUGGAGCCGGAGGGACGAUGGAGCGAUUGGGAUGACAGGCACCAGUGGAGAUCAGGGAGCUAGGAGCCAAGGCGGAGCUGAUGGGUCAAAGGGCCGAGGUGGAGAUUGGGGACCCAAACGCCAAGGUAGAGAGCUGGAGACUGGCAGACCCGAGGCAAAUCAGAGAGCCUGGAUGAUGCUGACUGAGGAUGGUGUCCAAACUACCGCAGAUGAAGUCCAUCUGUAACCUACAUAUAGACAAGCUGGAGUUCUUCCGUCUGGUUCACCCAGAAACAGCCUACAGCUUCCCGCCUCUGUACAGGGAAGUGUUUGGCAGUG